UACGGAAGGCAGCAGUGGGGAAUAUUGCACAAUGGGCGCAAGCCUGAUGCAGCCAUGCCGCGUGUAUGAAGAAGGCCUUCGGGUUGUAAAGUACUUUUCAGUCGUGAGGAAGGUGUUAAGGUUAAUAACCUUAGCAAUUGACGUUAGCGACAGAAGAAGCACCGGCUAACUCCGUGCCAGCAGCCGCGGUAAUACGGAGGGUGCGAGCGUUAAUCGGAAUUACUGGGCGUAAAGGGCACGCAGGCGGUUAAUUAAGUUGGAUGUGAAAUCCCCGGGCUUAACCUGGGAAUGGCAUUCAAGACUGGUUAGCUAGAGUCUUGUAGAGGGGGUAGAAUUCCAUGUGUAGCGGUGAAAUGCGUAGAGAUGUGGAGGAAUACCGGUGGCGAAGGCGGCCCCUGGACAAAGGACUGACGCUCAUGUGCGAAAGCUGGGGA
rnacentral:rRNA from 1 species